rnacentral:rRNA from 1 species
GGGUUGUGAGGUUAAGCGACUAAGCGUACACGGUGGAUGCCCUGGCAGUCAGAGGCGAUGAAGGACGUGCUAAUCUGCGAUAAGCGUCGGUGAGGUGAUAUGAACCGUUAUAACCGGCGAUUUCCGAAUGGGGAAACCCAGUGUGUUUCGACACACUAUCAUUAACUGAAUCCAUAGGUUAAUGAGGCGAACCGGGGGAACUGAAACAUCUAAGUACCCCGAGGAAAAGAAAUCAACCGAGAUUCCCCCAGUAGCGGCGAGCGAACGGGGAGGAGCCCAGAGCCUGAAUCAGUGUGUGUGUUAGUGGAAGCGUCUGGAAAGGCGCGCGAUACAGGGUGACAGCCCCGUACACAAAAAUGCACAUAUUGUGAGCUCGAUGAGUAGGGCGGGACACGUGGUAUCCUGUCUGAAUAUGGGGGGACCAUCCUCCAAGGCUAAAUACUCCUGACUGACCGAUAGUGAACCAGUACCGUGAGGGAAAGGCGAAAAGAACCCCGGCGAGGGGAGUGAAAAAGAACCUGAAACCGUGUACGUACAAGCAGUGGGAGCCUCUUAAUGGGGUGACUGCGUACCUUUUGUAUAAUGGGUCAGCGACUUAUAUUCUGUAGCAAGGUUAACCGAAUAGGGGAGCCGAAGGGAAACCGAGUCUUAACUGGGCGUUAAGUUGCAGGGUAUAGACCCGAAACCCGGUGAUCUAGCCAUGGGCAGGUUGAAGGUUGGGUAACACUAACUGGAGGACCGAACCGACUAAUGUUGAAAAAUUAGCGGAUGACUUGUGGCUGGGGGUGAAAGGCCAAUCAAACCGGGAGAUAGCUGGUUCUCCCCGAAAGCUAUUUAGGUAGCGCCUCGUGAAUUCAUCUCCGGGGGUAGAGCACUGUUUCGGCAAGGGGGUCAUCCCGACUUACCAACCCGAUGCAAACUGCGAAUACCGGAGAAUGUUAUCACGGGAGACACACGGCGGGUGCUAACGUCCGUCGUGAAGAGGGAAACAACCCAGACCGCCAGCUAAGGUCCCAAAGUCAUGGUUAAGUGGGAAACGAUGUGGGAAGGCCCAGACAGCCAGGAUGUUGGCUUAGAAGCAGCCAUCAUUUAAAGAAAGCGUAAUAGCUCACUGGUUGAGUCGGCCUGCGCGGAAGAUGUAACGGGGCUAAACCAUGCACCGAAGCUGCGGCAGCGACGCUUAUGCGUUGUUGGGUAGGGGAGCGUUCUGUAAGCCUGUGAAGGUGGCCUGUGAGGGUUGCUGGAGGUAUCAGAAGUGCGAAUGCUGACAUAAGUAACGAUAAAGCGGGUGAAAAGCCCGCUCGCCGGAAGACCAAGGGUUCCUGUCCAACGUUAAUCGGGGCAGGGUGAGUCGACUCCUAAGGCGAGGCCGAAAGGCGUAGUCGAUGGGAAACAGGUUAAUAUUCCUGUACUUGGUGUUACUGCGAAGGGGGGACGGAGAAGGCUAUGUUGGCCGGGCGACGGUUGUCCCGGUUUAAGCGUGUAGGCUGGUUUUCCAGGCAAAUCCGGAAAAUCAAGGCUGAGGCGUGAUGACGAGGCACUACGGUGCUGAAGCAACAAAUGCCCUGCUUCCAGGAAAAGCCUCUAAGCAUCAGGUAACAUCAAAUCGUACCCCAAACCGACACAGGUGGUCAGGUAGAGAAUACCAAGGCGCUUGAGAGAACUCGGGUGAAGGAACUAGGCAAAAUGGUGCCGUAACUUCGGGAGAAGGCACGCUGAUAUGUAGGUGAAGCGACUUGCUCGUGGAGCUGAAAUCAGUCGAAGAUACCAGCUGGCUGCAACUGUUUAUUAAAAACACAGCACUGUGCAAACACGAAAGUGGACGUAUACGGUGUGACGCCUGCCCGGUGCCGGAAGGUUAAUUGAUGGGGUUAGCGGUAACGCGAAGCUCUUGAUCGAAGCCCCGGUAAACGGCGGCCGUAACUAUAACGGUCCUAAGGUAGCGAAAUUCCUUGUCGGGUAAGUUCCGACCUGCACGAAUGGCGUAAUGAUGGCCAGGCUGUCUCCACCCGAGACUCAGUGAAAUUGAACUCGCUGUGAAGAUGCAGUGUACCCGCGGCAAGACGGAAAGACCCCGUGAACCUUUACUAUAGCUUGACACUGAACAUUGAGCCUUGAUGUGUAGGAUAGGUGGGAGGCUUUGAAGUGUGGACGCCAGUCUGCAUGGAGCCGACCUUGAAAUACCACCCUUUAAUGUUUGAUGUUCUAACGUUGGCCCGUAAUCCGGGUUGCGGACAGUGUCUGGUGGGUAGUUUGACUGGGGCGGUCUCCUCCUAAAGAGUAACGGAGGAGCACGAAGGUUGGCUAAUCCUGGUCGGACAUCAGGAGGUUAGUGCAAUGGCAUAAGCCAGCUUGACUGCGAGCGUGACGGCGCGAGCAGGUGCGAAAGCAGGUCAUAGUGAUCCGGUGGUUCUGAAUGGAAGGGCCAUCGCUCAACGGAUAAAAGGUACUCCGGGGAUAACAGGCUGAUACCGCCCAAGAGUUCAUAUCGACGGCGGUGUUUGGCACCUCGAUGUCGGCUCAUCACAUCCUGGGGCUGAAGUAGGUCCCAAGGGUAUGGCUGUUCGCCAUUUAAAGUGGUACGCGAGCUGGGUUUAGAACGUCGUGAGACAGUUCGGUCCCUAUCUGCCGUGGGCGCUGGAGAACUGAGGGGGGCUGCUCCUAGUACGAGAGGACCGGAGUGGACGCAUCACUGGUGUUCGGGUUGUCAUGCCAAUGGCACUGCCCGGUAGCUAAAUGCGGAAGAGAUAAGUGCUGAAAGCAUCUAAGCACGAAACUUGCCCCGAGAUGAGUUCUCCCUGAGACUUAGAGUCUCCUGAAGGAACGUUGAAGACGACGACGUUGAUAGGCCGGGUGUGUAAGCGCAGCGAUGCGUUGAGCUAACCGGUACUAAUGAACCGUGAGGCUUAACCUUACAACGCCGAAG